rnacentral:rRNA from 1 species
AACGAACGCUGGCGGCAUGCCUAACACAUGCAAGUCGAACGAGACCUUCGGGUCUAGUGGCGCACGGGUGCGUAACGCGUGGGAACCUGCCCUUAGGUUCGGAAUAACUCCCUGAAAGGGGUGCUAAUACCGGAUAAUGUCUUCGGACCAAAGAUUUCUCGCCUUUGGAUGGGCCCGCGUUGGAUUAGCUGGUUGGUAGGGUAAAAGCCUACCAAGGCCACGAUCCAUAGCUGGUCGGAGAGGAUGAUCAGCCACACUGGGACUGAGACACGGCCCAGACUCCUACGGGAGGCAGCAGUGGGGAAUAUUGGACAAUGGGCGAAAGCCUGAUCCAGCAAUGCCGCGUGAGUGAUGAAGGCCUUAGGGUUGUAAAGCUCUUUUACCCGGGAUGAUAAUGACAGUACCGGGAGAAUAAGCUCCGGCUAACUCCGUG